rnacentral:lncRNA from 1 species
AAGCGGAAACCCAAGAGCGCCACGCUGCGGGCGGAGCUGCUGCAGAAGUCCACGGAGACCGCCCAGCAGUUGAAGCGGAGCGCCGGGGUGCCCUUCCACGCCAAGGGCCGGGGGCUGCUGCGGAAGAUGGACACCACCAGUAAGGCCCCCACCCUGGUGCCGUGAGCCUUGCUUUUGGGGCAGAGCUAAGGGCUUCACCUGGAGACCCGCUCCCUGUUGGGGAGGUGGUGCCUGUGAAUGGUCUUCAGGCAGCAGUGUUGGGAGCCCGUGGGAAAGCGAAGGCACUGGGGCAAUUUCACCGGCUUCUCCCCUUGGGGAGCUCCCUGGGAGGAUGUGUGGGCACGGAGACAGGAGGGCCGGGAUCUGAGGACAGUGCUGGGCACGGAGACAGGAAGGCCGGGAUCUGAGGACACCGCUGGGCAUGGAGACAGGAAGGCCGGGAUCUGAGGACAGUGCUGGCCCCUGCUCCUCUGCUGUUGGCACCGGUGGCUCUCGGCCUUCCCAGCUCGGGCUUUCGGCCCCAAGUGCUGCUCUUGGGUUCCGAGUGUCCCUGGGC